rnacentral:rRNA from 1 species
UACGUAGGGUGCGAGCGUUAAUCGGAAUUACUGGGCGUAAAGCGUGCGCAGGCGGUUUUGUAAGCCAGAUGUGAAAUCCCCGGGCUUAACCUGGGAAUGGCAUUUGGGACUGCAAGGCUGGAGUUUGGCAGAGGAGACUGGAAUUCCUGGUGUAGCAGUGAAAUGCGUAGAGAUCGUAAGGAAGGCCAGUGGCGAAGGCGAGUUCCUGGACAGUUACUGACGCUGAGGCACGAAGGCCAGGGGAGCAAACGGG